CUCCCUCCCUCUCUCCCUCCCUCCCUCCACACAGAGGGGCUGUGGAAGAAGACACUGAGACACUCGAAGAGACUGGGGAAGGGUACAGAGACACACAAAGGGGCUGUGAAAAGGGAACACAGACAUGUGGAGGGGGCAUUGUGUCUCAUUUCACAGCCCCUCUGUGUGUCAGAGGGGAGAGGACAAUGAUACACACAGAGGAGUUAAGGAAUAGGUCAAUGACACAAAGAGGAGAAGGGGACAGAGAAGGUGAGGGGACAAUUACACAUAGAGAG